rnacentral:lncRNA from 1 species
UUUCAGAUUGAUUAAUAUUUCCCCCACUAUAUUUUUUUCUUCUUUACUUGCUUUAAUGUUAUAUAAUUUUUCUUGAUUUCUUUUUUAAAAGUUAAUUUAGAAAUGUUAACAUGCAUAGUUUAACUUUUAAAGUCUCAAAUGAAUAUCUUUACCUUUGCACAACACUAAAAAAAUGAAUUGUUUAUCAUCAAUCACCAUCUUCCUGAUUUUUAAGCUAUUACUGUCCAGAAUUGUGGAUAUAUAUUGAUUUUUUAACCUCCAAAUUUAUUGUUACUGUUUCAUAUCAAGUUGUUUACCAUUUAUUUUGUUUUUAUUUUGUUUCUCUUACCAUUUCCUCUUUCUUCUCAGCCCUCUUCCUGAAAUCAUUUUUAUUCCAUAUAAUUUAUAUCCUUUAGUUGAGUCUUAUUAGUGGCCAACUUUCUUAGAUAUGUUUUGUCUGUAAUUAUUUUUUUUAUCACACCUGUGGCAUGUGAAAGUUCCCAGGUCAGGGAUCAAACCUGUACCGCAGCAGCAACCUGAUCUGCUUCAGUGGCAACACCGGCUUUUUAACCUGCUGUGCCACAAAGGAAACCCUGUAAAUGUUUUUAUCUUUAUACUUGAAAGAUCAUCUCUUGGAUAUCUUUCAGCCUUUAAUAUAUAAAUAUAUAUUUAUGCAUGUAUUUUGUCACUCUAUGAUUAUUAAUUAUAUCUUUAUUAACAUAAUUAUAUAAUUUCUACAUGUAAUAUAUAAAUAUGCAUUGCAUGGUAUAUAUUUUGUUACUACAGAAUAGCUAGAAACAUUAUCACUAGGUUAAUCAAGAAACCUAAAAGUCUAUUUCUAGUUAAACUAUUAAGAGUCUAUUUUAUUUCCCAGUGAAGAGUCUAUUUCUCAUUUGCUACCGGAAAUUAGUUAAUUAAACCAGCCUAUGAUGCUUCAGUACAUCUUCCUAAAUGGAGAAUUUCCUAGUGAUCUACUUUAUAAGAACAUCAGCAAAUUAAACAGCUAUAAGAUAAUGGGUGGGAUGAAUUUAAGAACAGGUUAUUUUACCUUAACUACGUGAAUUUACCCUAAAGUGCUAGGCAGCAGAACAUUUUUAAGUUACUAUGUAUUUGUAUUUCCUGGGGGCAGGCGGAAGACAAUGGGAUAGACAGGGAGUUUGGGGUUGACAGGUGUGAACUAUUACAUUUAGAACAGAAAUGUAAUGGGGUCCUACUGUACAGCACAGGGAACCAUGUCCAGUCUCUUAGGUUAGAAUGUGAUGGAAGAUAGUAUGAAAAAAAAAGAAUGUAUAUAUGCGGGGGGGAGGGUCAUUUUGUCAUAUAGCAGAAAUUUAAGGAACAUCGUAAAUUAACUAUACUUUAAUAAAAAAAAAUUUCUUUUUCUUUUUGUCUUUUUAGAGCUGCACCCACGGCAUAUGGAGAUUCCCAGGCUAGGGUCUAAUGGAGGCUGUUGCUGCCAGCCUACGCCAGAGCCAUAGCAAGGCCAGAUCUGAGCUGUGUCCGCAACCUACGCCACUGCUCAUGGCAACACCAGAUCCUUAACACACUGAGAGAGGCCAGGGAUCAAACCUGCAACCUUGUGGUUCCUGGUCGGAUUCAUUUCUACUGUACC